rnacentral:tRNA from 1 species
AGUAAAGUCAGCUAACUCAAGCUAUCGGGCCCAUACCCCGAACAUGUUGGUUUAAAUCCCUCCUUUACUA